AACGCACAUUGCGCCCCUUGGUAUUCCAUGGGGCAUGCCUGUUCGAGCGUCAUUUACACCCUCAAGCUCUGCUUGGUGUUGGGCGUCUGUCCCGCUUCCCGCGUGGACUCGCCCCAAAAGCAUUGGCAGCGGUCGUGCCAGCUUCUCGCGCAGCACAUUGCGCGCUCGAAGCCCUGGCGGAUCGGCGUCCAGCAAGCUCCUUUUUUUGACUUGACCUCGGAUCAGGUAGGGAUACCCGCUGAACUUAA
rnacentral:misc_RNA from 1 species